rnacentral:rRNA from 1 species
GAUGAACGCUGGCGGCGUGCUUAACACAUGCAAGUCGAACGGUGAACGAGGGAGCUUGCUCCCUCCGGAUCAGUGGCGAACGGGUGAGUAACACGUGAGCAAUCUGCCCUGGACUCUGGGAUAAGCGUUGGAAACGACGUCUAAUACCGGAUACGAGGCGUGGGGGCAUCCCCAACGCCUGGAAAGAACUUCGGUCCAGGAUGAGCUCGCGGCCUAUCAGCUAGUUGGUGAGGUAACGGCUCACCAAGGCGACGACGGGUAGCCGGCCUGAGAGGGUGACCGGCCACACUGGGACUGAGACACGGCCCAGACUCCUACGGGAGGCAGCAGUGGGGAAUAUUGCACAAUGGGCGCAAGACUGAUGCAGCAACGCCGCGUGAGGGACGACGGCCUUCGGGUUGUAAACCUCUUUUAGCAGGGAAGAAGCGAAAGUGACGGUACCUGCAGAAAAAGCACCGGCUAACUACGUGCCAGCCGCCGCAGUAAUAC